GACCAAUGAUGUCUUUAUUUGCUACUCAUGAUUGCGUAUGUGACGAAAACUACUGACCACCAAGAUGUCACCUGAGGUC